UCGGAUUGCAGCCUGCAACUCGGCUGCAUGAAGCUGGAAUCGCUAGUAAUCGCGGAUCAGAACGCCGCGGUGAAUACGUUCCCGGGUCUUGUACACACCGCCCGUCACACCAUGGGAGCCGGAAACGCCCGAAGCCAGCGGCCCAACCGCAAGGGGGAGCUGUCGAAGGCGGGGCCGGUGACCGGGGUGAAGUCGUAACAAGGUAGC
rnacentral:rRNA from 1 species